rnacentral:rRNA from 1 species
AGUGAACGCUAGCGGUAGGCCUAACACAUGCAAGUCGAACGGCAGCACAGUAAGAGCUUGCUCUUACGGGUGGCGAGUCGCGGACGGGUGAGGAAUACAUCGGAAUCUACUUUUUCGUGGGGGAUAACGUAGGGAAACUUACGCUAAUACCGCAUACGACCUACGGGUGAAAGCAGGGGAUCUUCGGACCUUGCGCGAUUGAAUGAGCCGAUGUCGGAUUAGCUAGUUGGCGGGGUAAAGGCCCACCAAGGCGACGAUCCGUAGCUGGUCUGAGAGGAUGAUCAGCCACACUGGAACUGAGACACGGUCCAGACUCCUACGGGAGGCAGCAGUGGGGAAUAUUGGACAAUGGGCGCAAGCCUGAUCCAGCCAUACCGCGUGGGUGAAGAAGGCCUUCGGGUUGUAAAGCCCUUUUGUUGGGAAAGAAAAGCAGCAGGUUAAUACCCCGCUGUUCUGACGGUACCCAAAGAAUAAGCACCGGCUAACUUCGUG